rnacentral:rRNA from 1 species
CAGCCGCCGCGGGAAUACGUAGGUGGCAAGCGUUGUCCGGAAUUAUUGGGCGUAAAGGGCUCGCAGGCGGUUUCUUAAGUCUGAUGUGAAAGCCCCCGGCUCAACCGGGGAGGGUCAUUGAAAACUGGGAAACUUGAGUGCAGAAGAGGAGAGUGGAAUUCCACAUGUAGCGGUGAAAUGCGUAGAGAUGUGGAGGAACACCAGUGGCGAAGGCGACUCUCUGGUCUGUAACUGACGCUGAGGAGCGAAAGCGUGGGGAGCGAACAGGAUUAGAUACCCCCGUAGUCCCUGUCUCUUAUAC